rnacentral:rRNA from 1 species
AUGCACCCGGCUCCCGAACCUGUUGUUCGGAUUGUUUGCGGGGACAUUGCCGCCGCCGUUGCCGCGGUCCAGCCCGAACCACCUGGAGACAACAAGCUUCUCAUCCCAGCGCCUCUCAAUGGCAGUCACCGGGACGACGAGGCGGCCGAGGAUGUCGUCCCUGCCCGGCGACACAUGAUCCUCCAGGGACACCACCAAGAACUCCUCGAAUGGCUCGGCAACCACGAACAUCAGGUCUUCGUUCCAGAACGGGCUCGUCGGCCCCCGGUUCGCCAUGAUCGGCGACGCUCGUGUGCGCAGCAUCUGGCUCCCGAUCUGCGCGCGCACGAAGAGCUCCGGGUACCGGCCCAUCGCCAUGGGGCCCUUGUCCACGGGAAGCAGGUCCUGCGCCUCGAUGACGGACACGCGGAGGUACCACAGCUUGGGGGCGACAUACACCUUGGACUUGAUGGAUCCCAGGGGGCCGUGGCCCUGGACGCCGGCGGCCUUGGAGUGCCACGCCUCGGCGAAGGCCUCGUCGGCCUGGGUGCCGUACCACACGGCGACCAUCACCUCCACGCUGCCGCGCUCGCCCUUGCGGUCCUCCAUGGCGUACCACUGCGGCGCCAGCGUGCUGUCCGGCGGCGCGCGGCGGGGCACCUCGGAGAGGUCGAACCAGAUGCGGCCGACGUGGUCGUCGCUGCCGCGGGCGCGCACGAACACCUCGACGAAGGAGGACUGGAUGGUCUCCUUGGAGAAGGCGAAGACCUGGUCCCACUGGUGCGCGGCGGCCGGCGGCGUGACGCCGCGGUAGUUCCCGAGCUUGACCUCCGCGACGGCCUCGCCGGGCGUCGCCACGCCGCGCGCGCGCACCACGCGCACGUACAGGUACUGCAUCUGCUCGACCAGGUCGUAGGUGGCGCUCGCCUUGUCAGCCGUCAGGCCGCCGCCCAGGUGGGGCCGCGUCUCCUUGAGGGAGAAGUCCGCGGGGCCGCCGGGGAACAUGGCCGGGACGGGGUAGUGGUCGGCGAGCAUGACCGGCUUCAUGGCCGCCGGCUGCGGCUGCGGCAUGACGUCCAUGGGCUGCUGCGGCUGCUGCUGUUGCGUCUGAUGCGGCCGCGCGGCCACCACCGGCUGCUGGCGCUGGUGCUGCUGCUGCUGCUGCUUCUUGCCCCCACUCACGGGCGGCGCGGCGACCACCUCGGGGCCAGUCACCACCGCCUUGGCGGGCUUCUCCUGCUUGCCCUUGGCGACCAUCUCGCCGGCCCCGGCGCCGGCGCGGUAAAUCUUGAGCGUGAUCUCACCCCGGAUAUGCGAGAAGAGGCUCCGCUUCUCGAGCGUGAAGAGCUGCGGCACGACGGGCUCCCCUGGCGCGGGCACGCCGGCGGCCGGGACGCGCACCUUGCCGAGGAAGUUGCGGCCGUGGGGGCUGUUGCCGGAGGCGGAGGCGGCGCGGUCGUUGUAGACGCCGACGUCGAUGGCGCGGUAGGGGAGGUCGUCGGGGUCGGCGACGGGGAAGACGAGGCGCUCGUUCCAGACGGGGUUGAGCUCCCUGGGGCGCGGCCGGGUGCGGCGCUUCUGGUGCUCGAACUCCACCUCGACGUACGCCGACGAGGAGCCCUGGCCGUCCUUGGGCAUCAGGUUGUGCGCCGCCACCACCUCCACCACCAGCUUCUCCGCCUUGGCCAUCCCCAAGAUUCAAACUCGCUCGGAGAACAGAGGAGGGAGGAGGGAGGGGGGUGA